GGCUUACGAAUAAAGAUGGGUGUGCGUCCACGUAGCACCACCGGAAGCUUCAUAGUUUGAAGAUUAAAAUACAAGUGGGCGAUGGAGAAGGGAUACCGCUGCUACAGUAAGAUCAGGAAAACCCUCUGUAGAUACCGCGGAAGAGACAUUCGACGAGAAAGACAACACCGUCACCAUUAGUGGCCCCUUUUGCCCCAAGAAGUUCGCUAGAAAGUUCUACUGCAAAGCUGGAAAUGCCAUUAAAUGCAUUGAGAUUGUCGAGGAAACACCUCCGGAGAAACCUAAAUCUCUCGAUCCACCAAAGCUGGAGCCAGAGCCCGAACCCAAACCCGUGCCCAAGCCCAAGGCUGAUGUACCGAAAAAGCCUGCUGAACCACUUCCACCGUCGCCUCCUCCCCCCCGUGGUUGUUGUUGAGGUUGUUGUUGAGGUUCCUCCACCUCAAUCCAAUUCGGCCCCACCUAGACGGUCACUUAAAUCAGCUCCCCCAGUACCUUAUGAAGAGUAUGGAGAGGGACCACGUGGUCAAACUUCAGCGAAAAGGACCCAAAUUCAUGCAUCAUCAUGUAAUGUUUGUCUUUUCUGAGAAGAAAGAAAAUGUGAUGUUGUUGUUGUUGUAAGUUGUAACAUAUUUUCAAUUGAUGAUUGGAUUAAGUGUAAACUAAAAGAUAAUUCCCCAACCUGUAAUUAUCAUUCGAAAAAGUCGAUAACACCUACAUAAUAAUUCAUUUACACACCCUUUUAACCUUCCA